UCAAUAUUUCUAUUUUGAUUCCAGCCUCCAGAAUAUUCAAUGAAAGAUUAUUUUACGGUUACUAAUUAAAAAGUAAAACUUUUCGGAUAAAAUUUAAAUCUUUCAUUAUGAUGAAAAAUGAAAUGCUGAAUUUGGAUGACAAGACUUCAUUGAUUAUAAGAAAUUGCUCAGAUUUAUCAAAAAAUUACGCCGCACUAAGAAACACAAGUAAUUUUACUCAAUGUAAGACAGCUAGUGAUUGUAAAUGUGAAAUUACUAAUCCAUCUAAAGUGUCUCAAGCUUUGAAUGAUUAUGCUGAAAAAAUGUCAGAAAUGGCAAGAAUUAAAGACGAAAAACUGUUGAAAAUAUGUCAAGAAAUAAAAGGAUUGAAGGACUUAACUCAAAUAAAGAAAAACAAUGGACUUGAAACAUCUAACACUGCGAGUGACGAUAUUGCGAGUUUCGAGAAGAAUUGGAUCCAAACGACUGUAAUAAAUUCUUCCUUUACUGAAGAAAAAUUUACCGAGUUGUCUUUAAAUCUUCGAAAAGGUCCAACUAACUGCGACAUAACUGUUGACGACUUUUUAACCAUGGACAAUGAUAACCAUCUUCAAACUACCGACAAAAGAAUUGUUUUACUGCAAGAUGGCAUAGAUGAAGCGAUGCAAAACGACUUCUCCACUCCGCAACAAAUUAGUAUAGAACAUCCAGAGUUUUUAAAAAAAUCAAAAAAAGAAACACAAGAAAUUAAAGAUCAAGAUCAAGCAAUUGCAUAUCCACAGUCAUCAGCAGAACGCCCGUAUGUUUGUUUGAAAUGUCAGAAAACUUUCAAGAGAAAUUUGCAUUUAAGAAGACAUUUUACGGUGGCGCACACGCAGAGCAAAAACUUCAAAUGUGAUAUUUGUGAAAAAUUAUUUUCUCGCAAAGAUUAUCUUGAUAAGCACAUUGCAGGACAUCAAAAAAAGGAUUUGAAAAUAAAACUUCUCGAGCAAGGCAUCGUUGUGCGAACAAAAAUAUUUUCGAAGUCAGGAAAAUAAAACCAUAUGCCCAAACAACCAUUUAAAAAGUGAGAAAAAUAGGUAGGUACUGCUUAUUUCAUUUUAUAAGUCUACCUACAUAUUUUCAAAUUCUGUACCUAACUACCUGGUUCAUAUUUUAUGUCAACGAAAUAUAUACCUAGGUACUCAUGAA